UACGUAGGGUGCGAGCGUUGUCCGGAAUUAUUGGGCGUAAAGAGCUUGUAGGCGGUUUGUCGCGUCUGCUGUGAAAUCUCAAGGCUCAACCUUGAGCUUGCAGUGGGUACGGGCAGACUAGAGUGUGGUAGGGGGAGACUGGAAUUCCUGGUGUAGCGGUGAAAUGCGCAGAUAUCAGGAGGAACACCGGUGGCGAAGGCGGGUCUCUGGGCAGUAACUGACGCUGAGGAGCGAAAAGCGUGGGGGAGCGAACAGGG
rnacentral:rRNA from 1 species